rnacentral:rRNA from 1 species
GGAAUCGGCUCAGGAUGAACGCUGGCGGCGUGCCUAAUACAUGCAAGUCGAGCGAACUGAUUAGAAGCUUGCUUCUAUGACGUUAGCGGCGGACGGGUGAGUAACACGUGGGCAACCUGCCUGUAAGACUGGGAUAACUUCGGGAAACCGAAGCUAAUACCGGAUAGGAUCUUCUCCUUCAUGGGAGAUGAUUGAAAGAUGGUUUCGGCUAUCACUUACAGAUGGGCCCGCGGUGCAUUAGCUAGUUGGUGAGGUAACGGCUCACCAAGGCAACGAUGCAUAGCCGACCUGAGAGGGUGAUCGGCCACACUGGGACUGAGACACGGCCCAGACUCCUACGGGAGGCAGCAGUAGGGAAUCUUCCGCAAUGGACGAAAGUCUGACGGAGCAACGCCGCGUGAGUGAUGAAGGCUUUCGGGUCGUAAAACUCUGUUGUUAGGGAAGAACAAGUACAAGAGUAACUGCUUGUACCUUGACGGUACCUAACCAGAAAGCCACGGCUAACUACGUGCCAGCAGCCGCGGUAAUAC